UGUGAACUCGAAGAGUAGGGCGGGACACGUGGUAUCCUGUCUGAAUAUGGGGGGACCAUCCUCCAAGGCUAAAUACUCCUGACUGACCGAUAGUGAACCAGUACCGUGAGGGAAAGGCGAAAAGAACCCCGGCGAGGGGAGUGAAAAAGAACCUGAAACCGUGUACGUACAAGCAGUGGGAGCACCUUCGGGUGUGACUGCGUACCUUUUGUAUAAUGGGUCAGCGACUUAUAUUCUGUAGCAAGGUUAACCGUAUAGGGGAGCCGCAGGGAAACCGAGUCUUAACUGGGCGUUAAGUUGCAGGGUAUAGACCCGAAACCCGGUGAUCUAGCCAUGGGCAGGUUGAAGGUUGGGUAACACUAACUGGAGGACCGAACCGACUAAUGUUGAAAAAUUAGCGGAUGACUUGUGGCUGGGGGUGAAAGGCCAAUCAAACCGGGAGAUAGCUGGUUCUCCCCGAAAGCUAUUUAGGUAGCGCCUCGUGAAUUCAUCUUCGGGGGUAGAGCACUGUUUCGGCUAGGGGGUCAUCCCGACUUACCAACCCGAUGCAAACUACGAAUACCGAAGAAUGUUAUCACGGGAGACACACGGCGGGUGCUAACGUCCGUCGUGAAGAGGGAAACAACCCAGACCGCCAGCUAAGGUCCCAAAGUCAUGGUUAAGUGGGAAACGAUGUGGGAAGGCACAGACAGCCAGGAUGUUGGCUUAGAAGCAGCCAUCAUUUAAAGAAAGCGUAAUAGCUCACUGGUCGAGUCGGCCUGCGCGGAAGAUGUAACGGGGCUAAACCAUGCACCGAAGCUGCGGCAGCGACACUAUGUGUUGUUGGGUAGGGGAGCGUUCUGUAAGCCUGCGAAGGUGUGCUGUGAGGCAUGCUGGAGGUAUCAGAAGUGCGAAUGCUGACAUAAGUAACGAUAAAGCGGGUGAAAAGCCCGCUCGCCGGAAGACCAAGGGUUCCUGUCCAACGUUAAUCGGGGCAGGGUGAGUCGACCCCUAAGGCGAGGCCGAAAGGCGUAGUCGAUGGGAAACAGGUUAAUAUUCCUGUACUUGGUGUUACUGCGAAGGGGGGACGGAGAAGGCUAUGUUAGCCGGGCGACGGUUGUCCCGGUUUAAGCAUGUAGGCUGGUUAUCCAGGCAAAUCCGGAUAAUCAAGGCUGAGGUGUGAUGACGAGGCACUACGGUGCUGAAGUAACAAAUGCCCUGCUUCCAGGAAAAGCCUCUAAGCAUCAGGUAACAUCAAAUCGUACCCCAAACCGACACAGGUGGUCAGGUAGAGAAUACCAAGGCGCUUGAGAGAACUCGGGUGAAGGAACUAGGCAAAAUGGUGCCGUAACUUCGGGAGAAGGCACGCUGGUGUGUAGGUGAAGUCCCUGCGGAUGGAGCUGAGACCAGUCGAAGAUACCAGCUGGCUGCAACUGUUUAUUAAAAACACAGCACUGUGCAAACACGAAAGUGGACGUAUACGGUGUGACGCCUGCCCGGUGCCGGAAGGUUAAUUGAUGGGGUUAUCCGUAAGGAGAAGCUCUUGAUCGAAGCCCCGGUAAACGGCGGCCGUAACUAUAACGGUCCUAAGGUAGCGAAAUUCCUUGUCGGGUAAGUUCCGACCUGCACGAAUGGCGUAAUGAUGGCCAGGCUGUCUCCACCCGAGACUCAGUGAAAUUGAACUCGCUGUGAAGAUGCAGUGUACCCGCGGCAAGACGGAAAGACCCCGUGAACCUUUACUAUAGCUUGACACUGAACAUUGAGCCUUGAUGUGUAGGAUAGGUGGGAGGCUUUGAAGCGUGGACGCCAGUCUGCGUGGAGCCAACCUUGAAAUACCACCCUUUAAUGUUUGAUGUUCUAACGUUGGCCCCUGACCGGGGUUGCGGACAGUGUCUGGUGGGUAGUUUGACUGGGGCGGUCUCCUCCCAAAGCGUAACGGAGGAGCACGAAGGUUAGCUAAUCCUGGUCGGACAUCAGGAGGUUAGUGCAAUGGCAUAAGCUAGCUUGACUGCGAGCGUGACGGCGCGAGCAGGUGCGAAAGCAGGUCAUAGUGAUCCGGUGGUUCUGAAUGGAAGGGCCAUCGCUCAACGGAUAAAAGGUACUCCGGGGAUAACAGGCUGAUACCGCCCAAGAGUUCAUAUCGACGGCGGUGUUUGGCACCUCGAUGUCGGCUCAUCACAUCCUGGGGCUGAAGUAGGUCCCAAGGGUAUGGCUGUUCGCCAUUUAAAGUGGUACGCGAGCUGGGUUUAGAACGUCGUGAGACAGUUCGGUCCCUAUCUGCCGUGGGCGCUGGAGAAUUGAGGGGGGCUGCUCCUAGUACGAGAGGACCGGAGUGGACGCAUCACUGGUGUUCGGGUUGUCAUGCCAAUGGCACUGCCCGGUAGCUAAAUGCGGAAGAGAUAAGUGCUGAAAGCAUCUAAGCACGAAACUUGCCCCGAGAUGAGUUCUCCCUGAGACUUUAAGUCUCCUGAAGGAACGUUGAAGACGACGACGUUGAUAGGCCGGGUGUGUAAGCGCAGCGAUGCGUUGAGCUAACCGGUACUAAUGAACCGUGAGGCUUAACCUU
rnacentral:rRNA from 2 species